rnacentral:tRNA from 1 species
GCGGAAGUGGCGCAAUUGGUAGACGCGCUAGCUUCAGGAGCUAGUGGGAGUAAUUCCCUUGAGGGUUCGAAUCCCUCCUUCCGCA